rnacentral:rRNA from 1 species
GACGAACGCUGGCGGCAUGCCUAAUACAUGCAAGUCGAGCGAACAUUUAUAGCAGCUUGCUUCUAUAAAUGUUAGCGGCGUAUGGGUGAGUAACACGUGGGCAACCUGCCCUGCAGAUGGGUAUAACUCCGGGAAACCGUGGCUCAUACCGGAUAAUCAGUUUGUCCGCAUGGACUCACUCUACAAGACGUCUUCGGCUGUCACUUCAGGAUGGGCCCGCGGCGCAUUAGCUAGUUGGUGGGAUAACGGCCUACCAAGGCAACGAUGCGUAGCCGACCUGAGAGGGUGAUCGGCCACACUGGGACUGAGACACGGCCCAGACUCCUACGGGAGGCAGCAGUAGGGAAUCUUCCACAAUGGACGGAAGUCUGAUGGAGCAAUGCCGCGUGAGCGAAGAAGGUUUUCGGAUCGUAAAGCUCUGUUGUGAGGGAAGAACAAGUACGGGAGUAACUGCCCGUACCUUGACGGUACCUCAUUAGAAAGCCACGGCUAACUACGUG